rnacentral:rRNA from 1 species
CAGUAGCCGCGGGAAUACGGAGGGUGCGAACGUUAAUCGGAAUAACUGGGCGUAAAGCGCGCGCAGGCGGAUAGGUCAGUCUGUCUUAAAAGUUCGGGGCUUAACCCCGUGAUGGGAUGGAAACUGCCAAUCUAGAGUAUCGGAGAGGAAAGUGGAAUUCCUAGUGUAGCGGUGAAAUGCGUAGAUAUUAGGAAGAACACCAGUGGCGAAGGCGGCUUUCUGGACUGCAACUGACGCUGAGGCUCGAAAGCCAGGGGAGCGAACGGGAUUAGAUACCCCCGUAGUCCCUGUCUCUUAUACA